GUCUAGCUGAAGAGUUCUAAUGAGAACGAAACGCGUCCUAGAC
rfam:Asian citrus Psyllid, Diaphorina citri - Florida Strain, whole genome shotgun sequence.